UGUGUCUCUGUGUGUGUCUCUGUGUGUCUCUGUGUGUCUCUGUGUGACAGAGACACACAGAGACACACAGAGACACACA
rnacentral:miRNA from 14 species